UUCUUCUUUGUGCAGACGAUCAGGGGACGAGAAGAGGUGUAAUGUUAACAAUUAUUACAAUGAAAAUGCCUCUGAUUUUUGCUUUAUGGGUUGUAGUGGUUUUUGUUUUAAGAAGGACCCGUGCAGACCCAGUAACUCAGCCAAAAGGCACCAUUCCCGUCCACGAGGGAAAACCUGUGCUUAUUCGCUGCACUUUCGACUACUCUGGGGCUCCAUAUCUCUACUGGUACGAGCAGUACCCCCAUGAAGCCCCUCGCCCGUUGCUUACACAAUAUGAAGCAUCGGACGAGGAGCAGAAGAGACGCAGGCGAGGGUUCUCUGCUAAACUGGAGAAAGACUCCAAAUCCUUCCACCUGGAGAAAAACUCCAGCGAAGCGAGCGACUCUGCUGUCUAUUACUGCGCCUUGAGAGACACCGCGAACAAAACCACCUGGGGAGGUGAACAAAAACCUCCCUGAGUGAGAAACACAAAGGACUGAAAUAG